GCGGACGGCUCAUUAAAUCAGUUAUCGUUUAUUUGAUAGCACCUACUACAUGGAUAACUGUGGUAAUUCUAGAGCUAAUACAUGCUAAAAAUCCCGACUUCGGAAGGGAUGUAUUUAUUAGAUUAAAAACCAAUGCCCUUCGGGGCUCUCUGGUGAUUCAUAAUAACUGCUCGAAUCGCAUGGCCUUGCGCCGGCGAUGGCUCAUUCAAAUUUCUGCCCUAUCAACUUUCGACGGCUGGGUCUUGGCCAGCCAUGGUGACAACGGGUAACGGAGGGUUAGGGCUCGACCCCGGAGAAGGAGCCUGAGAGACGGCUACUACAUCCAAGGAAGGCAGCAGGCGCGCAAAUUACCCAAUCCCAAUUCGGGGAGGUAGUGACAAUAAAUACUGAUACAGGGCUCUUUUGGGUCUUGUAAUCGGAAUGAGAACAAUUUAAAUCCCUUAACGAGGAACAAUUGGAGGGCAAGUCUGGUGCCAGCAGCCGCGGUAAUUCCAGCUCCAAUAGCGUAUAUUAAAGUUGUUGCAGUUAAAAAGCUCGUAGUUGAACCUUGGGCCUGGCUGGCCGGUCCGCCUCACCGCGUGCACUGGUCCGGCCGGGCCUUUCCCUCUGGGGAGCCGCAUGCCCUUCACUGGGCGUGUCGGGGAACCAGGACUUUUACUGUGAAAAAAUUAGAGUGUUCAAAGCAGGCCUAUGCUCGAAUACAUUAGCAUGGAAUAAUAGAAUAGGACGUGUGGUUCUAUUUUGUUGGUUUCUAGGACCGCCGUAAUGAUUAAUAGGGACAGUCGGGGGCGUCAGUAUUCAAUUGUCAGAGGUGAAAUUCUUGGAUUUAUUGAAGACUAACUGCUGCGAAAGCGUUCGCCAAGGAUGUUUUCAUUAAUCAGGAACGAAAGUUAGGGGAUCGAAGACGAUCAGAUACCGUCGUAGUCUUAACCAUAAACUAUGCCGACUCGGGAUCGGACGAUGUUAUUUUUUGACUCGUUCGGCACCGUAUACGAAAGUAAA
rnacentral:rRNA from 1 species